UUAUACUUCCUCUAUAUAGCCAUUGGUGUUUUCUUUGCUGGAUGGAUAGGUAAGAUGAGGCUGUAGCAACUUAUAGAAAUCACUAAACAGUACCCUUGUGUUACAUAUUUGACCACCUCUGCUAUAAUUACAGAGGUUUCAUGCUGGAUUUUGACUGGGGAAAGGCAGAAGCAGUGAUAAGAUGAAAGUAUGUCCAAAUCUUGCUAAACCAAGACAUGAGUUUCUUUGAUACCUAUGGAAACAAUGGUGAUAUUGUCAGUCAAGUGUUGAGUGAUCUCUUACUCCUUCAGUCUGGUCAAAGUGAGAAGGUGUGUGCCACGGCCUACAAAGUGACUUAAAAGGUCACUCAUGGACACAAUUUGUCUUAGGAUAUCUCGAAAUCAUCUUGACAUUAGCUACUGGACCCUUCAUUGUUGCUGUAGGAGGAAUAUCAAAUAUAUUUCUCCAUAGGCUGGCACAAAAUAUUGAGGAUGCAUAUGUGGACUUAAUCAAGGCAAAACAUAUUUGGAUUUCCUCUUACAUCGGCUGCUGCAGCAACAUAUUUGUUGUGCUCCUACAAAUUCACGACAGCGCCAACUCCCAUCCUCCAUUGACACUCGUAGCGACAGGGUGGUUUACAUGAUUCUGGAGGUGGAACUCAUACAAGAAUAUUUUAUCAGAAACAUAAAUAAUAUCCAAGACGCUGAUAAUCAGUACCGAGC